rnacentral:rRNA from 1 species
ACGGGCUAUCAUGCAAGUCGAGCGGACCGACGGGAGCUUGCUCCCUUAGGUCAGCGGCGGACGGGUGAGUAACACGUGGGUAACCUGCCUGUAAGACUGGGAUAACUCCGGGAAACCGGGGCUAAUACCGGAUGCUUGAUUGAACCGCAUGGUUCAAUCAUAAAAGGUGGCUUUUAGCUACCACUUACAGAUGGACCCGCGGCGCAUUAGCUAGUUGGUGAGGUAACGGCUCACCAAGGCGACGAUGCGUAGCCGACCUGAGAGGGUGAUCGGCCACACUGGGACUGAGACACGGCCCAGACUCCUACGGGAGGCAGCAGUAGGGAAUCUUCCGCAAUGGACGAAAGUCUGACGGAGCAACGCCGCGUGAGUGAUGAAGGUUUUCGGAUCGUAAAACUCUGUUGUUAGGGAAAACCAGGGAAACCGGAAAA